rnacentral:rRNA from 1 species
AGUGUGAAGGCAUAGAGCCUUCACUUUUGUACACCGUAAGGUGGUGUACGAAUAAGGGCUGGGCAAGACCGGUGCCAGCCGCCGCGGUAAUACCGGCAGCCCGAGUGAUGGCCGAUAUUAUUGGGCCUAAAGCGUCCGUAGCUGGCCGGACAAGUCCGUUGGGAAAUCUGUUCGCUUAACGAGCAGGCGUCCAGCGGAAACUGUUCGGCUUGGGACCGGAAGACCUGAGGGGUACGUCCGGGGUAGGAGUGAAAUCCUGUAAUCCUGGACGGACCACCGGUGGCGAAAGCGCCUCAGGAGAACGGAUCCGACAGUGAGGGACGAAAGCUAGGGUCUCGAACCGGAUUAGAUACCCGGGUAGUCCUAGCUGUAAACGAUGCCCGCUAGGUGUGGCGCAGGCUACGAGCCUGCGCUGUGCCGUAGGGAAGCCGAGAAGCGGGCCGCCUGGGAAGUACGUCUGCAAGGAUGAAACUUAAAGGAAUUGGCGGGGGAGCACUACAACUGGAGGAGCCUGCGGUUUAAUUGGACUCAACGCCGGACAUCUCACCAGCUCCGACAGUAGUAAUGACGGUCAGGUUGAUGACCUUACCCGAUGCUACUGAGAGGAGGUGCAUGGCCGCCGUCAGCUCGUACCGUGAGGCGUCCUGUUAAGUCAGGCAACGAGCGAGACCCGCACUCCUAAUUGCCAGCAGUACCCUUUGGGUAGCUGGGUACAUUAGGUGGACUGCCGCUGCUAAAGCGGAGGAAGGAACGGGCAACGGUAGGUCAGUAUGCCCCGAAUGAGCUGGGCAACACGCGGGCUACAAUGGUCGAGACAAUGGGAUGCAACUCCG